UGGCUCUGAGGCCCGCCCACUUCCUGGUCGCCUCACUUCCUCCUUCCCACCGUUGCUGGUGCAGACGUCGGAUUGUCGGACACGGUGCCGACGUAACCGCUCACGGGGAAUCUCCGUUCCGGCGCACGUGGCUUAUUGGCGGCCGCGGUUUGCAACCGCAGCCAUCUGAGCGUGAAGCUCUCUUCUCCCGCAUGCGGUCUGACGCAGCCUGAUCGGUGCUGGAAGCUUACGGUGGUGGUCUUGGUGCCCUGGUGGUGUCCCCUUUUGUGUGCUGUGCAACCCCCGGUUUUCAUUUGGUUUCCCCGUUGUGUGUUUGCGUGCAUGAGUGACACGAGUGACUGGGGUGCUCCUUUUCCUGGGAUUCCUCUCGCCUCCUCAUUGCCCCAUUUCCCUCCACUGAGCCAGGCACCAGCGGCAUGGCGCCAGGCAGGCGAGCGCGUGCCCUCCGCCUCCCAUGCUUGGCCAAUCAUCACGGCAGAGGUCCUGGAAAGGCAGACAGAAAUAUGCCAUUUAUUGGCUUCAGUUAGCACGCUCGAGACAAUUAAUAACACGCUAAAAUAAUUUAACUAGAAUGUAAAAAAAAAUAAAAAAACCUGAAUAAAAUGUUUAAAUGACUAAA